CACGUAGGGGGCAAGCGUUGUCCGGAUUUAUUGGGCGUAAAGAGCUCGUAGGUGGUUCGGUAAGUCGGGUGUUAAACCCCCAGGCUCAACCUGGGGACGCCACUCGAUACUGCUGUGACUAGAGUCCGGUAGGGGAGCGUGGAAUUCCUGGUGUAGCGGUGAAAUGCGCAGAUAUCAGGAGGAACACCAGCGGCGAAGGCGGCGCUCUGGGCCGGUACUGACACUGAGGAGCGGAAGCGUGGGUAGCAAACAGG
rnacentral:rRNA from 1 species